rnacentral:rRNA from 1 species
GACGAACGCUGGCGGCGUGCUUAACACAUGCAAGUCGAACGGAAAGGCCCUGCUUUUGUGGGGUGCUCGAGUGGCGAACGGGUGAGUAACACGUGAGUAACCUGCCCUUGACUUUGGGAUAACUUCAGGAAACUGGGGCUAAUACCGGAUAGGAGCUCCUGCUGCAUGGUGGGGGUCGAAAGUUUCGGCGGUUGGGGAUGGACUCGCGGCUUAUCAGCUUGUUGGUGGGGUAGUGGCUUACCAAGGCUUUGACGGGUAGCCGGCCUGAGAGGGUGACCGGCCACAUUGGGACUGAGAUACGGCCCAGACUCCUACGGGAGGCAGCAGUGGGGAAUAUUGCACAAUGGGCGGAAGCCUGAUGCAGCAACGCCGCGUGCGGGAUGACGGCCUUCGGGUUGUAAACCGCUUUCGCCUGUGACGAAGCGUGAGUGACGGUAAUGGGUAAAGAAGCACCGGCUAACUACGUG